GGGGUGCCAUGUUCCAAGGGCUGGCGAGGAAGGCUUGCACCUUUCCUGUGUAGGGUUCGAUUCCCUAGCUCUCCACCA
rnacentral:tRNA from 1 species